GACGCACGCUGGCGGCGUGCUUAACACAUGCAAGUCGAACGGAAAGGCCCUGCUUUUGUGGGGUGCUCGAGUGGCGAACGGGUGAGUAACACGUGAGUAACCUGCCCUUGACUUUGGGAUAACUUCAGGAAACUGGGGCUAAUACCGGAUAGGAGCUCCUGCUGCCUGGUGGGGGUUGGAAAGUUUCGGCGGUUGGGGAUGGACUCGCGGCUUAUCAGCUUGUUGGUGGGGUAGUGGCUUACCAAGGCUUUGACGGGUAGCCGGCCUGAGAGGGUGACCGGCCACAUUGGGACUGAGAUACGGCCCAGACUCCUACGGGAGGCAGCAGUGGGGAAUAUUGCACAAUGGGCGGAAGCCUGAUGCAGCAACGCCGCGUGCGGGAUGACGGCCUUCGGGUUGUAAACCGCUUUCGCCUGUGACGAAGCGUGAGUGACGGUAAUGGGUAAAGAAGCACCGGCUAACUACGUG
rnacentral:rRNA from 1 species